AUUCCUUCUUACUAGAAAACUCCUGGAACAAACAUUUCAUUUUCUCAUAAUAAAUCAAUAUAGAAUCAUUUUCCUCUUCUCUAACAAAAUCGAUUUCUUCUUCUUCACUACAAAUUUGAUUUUCCUCUUCUUUACGGAAAAUUUUGAUUUUUCUCUUCAAUCAUGAAUCAUGUUUCCUCUUAACCGUAAAUUGAAGGUCGGAACUCUAAAUUGGUGAAUCUAUAGCUAUGAGAUACUCUAUCGCGUGAACACUCAUCUGAACAUAGAGUUUUGAAGCAUCAUGAUUUUGAUAUGGUCAAAAGUUAGUCUUCUGAGUUCAAGAGUGCUACUAUAAGUUACGAAGGAAUUGGACGCUCGUUAUCACUAAAACUUGUGCAGCAACUGCAAGAGCAAAGCCAUAUAUCUGCUAAGAGCACAUAGGGCACCGAAGCUUUUAAGGUGGUUGAUGAAAUGUUCAAGAACCAAAAAUGUUACCAUUCGUUUUGUUCUGAAUGUGUAACAAAACACGUAGCAACAAAAAUCCAAGAAAACAUUACGGUUGUUCCUUGUCCUGGUUUGAAUUGCAAGGGUUUGUUGGAGCUUGAUGUUUGCAGAAGUUUGAUUCCAAAAGAAAUAAUUGAUUGGUGGGAUUAUGCAUUGUGUGGGGGCGUUUUUACUAACUGUUCCUAAAAUAUAUUGUCCCUUUAAGGAUUAUUCAACAAUGUUGCUUGAUGAAAAUAAAGGUGGAGAAGAAAUUAGGGAAUUUGAGUGUCCUUUUUGAGUGAAGAUAGUUUUUAUGUACUCUAUAGAUUCGUUCAUCUUUAUUAAAUAUAAUUUUAGUUCUUGUUGGAGUGGCUA